AAAGAUUAAGCCAUGCAAGUGUCAGUUCAACUCAUUUGAUGAGAAAACCGCGGAAAGCUCAUUACAACAGCCAUUGUUCACUUGAUGUUGACUAUCCUACUUGGAUAACUGUGGUAAUUCUAGAGCUAAUACAUGCAACUCUGCUCUGGUAGGCCCUCGGGCUGACGAGCGCAAUUAUUAGAACAAAACCAAUCGGGCUUCGGUCCGUCGGUUUGGUGGAUCUGAAUAACUACGCUGAUCGCACAGUCUUUGCACUGGCGACGUAUCUUUCAAGUGUCUGUCCUAUCAGCUGUCGAUGGUAUUCUAUACGAUUACCAUGGCUGUAACGGGUAACGGAGAAUAAGGGUUCGAUCCGGAGAGGGAGCCUGAGAAACGGCUACCACAUCCAAGGAAGCAGCAGGCA
rnacentral:rRNA from 1 species